GGGGAUGUGGCUCAAGCGGUAGCGCGCUUGCCUGGCGUGCAUGCUGCCUGGGUUCGAUCCUCAGCACCUCA
rnacentral:tRNA from 1 species